GACGAACGCUGGCGGCGUGCUUAACACAUGCAAGUCGAACGGAAAGGCCCUGCUUUUGUGGGGUGCUCGAGUGGCGAAAGGGUGAGUAACACGUGAGUAACCUGCCCUUGACUUUGGGAUAACUUCAGGAAACUGGGGCUAAUACCGGAUAGGAGCUCCUGCUGCAUGGUGGGGGUUGGAAAGUUUCGGCGGUUGGGGAUGGACUCGCGGCUUAUCAGCUUGUUGGUGGGGUAGUGGCUUACCAAGGCUUUGACGGGUAGCCGGCCUGAGAGGGUGACCGGCCACAUUGGGACUGAGAUACGGCCCAGACUCCUACGGGAGACAGCAGUGGAGAAUAUUGCACAAUGGGCGGAAGCCUGAUGCAGCAACGCCGCGUGCGGGAUGACGGCCUUCGGGUUGUAAACCGCUUUCGCCUGUGACGAAGCGUGAGUGACGGUAAUGGGUAAAGAAGCACCGGCUAACUACGUG
rnacentral:rRNA from 1 species